GCCUCUUCCUCUCCGUCCCAAAUUGAACUCAAGUUGGAAGAGGUGAGUCCGGCCUCAAA
ensembl:miRNA